CACCAAGUACAAGCCGUGACGGUACCCAGGGCGCUUCAUCUACUUUGGGCGCAUACAGAACGAUUUCUGACGACACCUUGCGCUACCCGGGGAACACGCAGCACACGCCCACGAUCGACGAGACUUGCAACGUCGACGGAAUGCUAUUGAAACCGGAGGAAGAGAGCAGCAAGUGUCCUGCGAUGCCAGUAGGAAGGUUU